AUUGAACGCUGGCGGCAUGCCUUACACAUGCAAGUCGAACGGCAGCACGGGGCAACCUGGUGGCGAGUGGCGAACGGGUGAGUAAUGCAUCGGAACGUACCUUUCAGUGGGGGAUAACGUAGCGAAAGUUACGCUAAUACCGCAUAUUCUGUGAGCAGGAAAGCAGGGGAUCGCAAGACCUUGCGCUGAUUGAGCGGCCGAUGUCAGAUUAGCUAGUUGGUGAGGUAAAGGCUCACCAAGGCGGCGAUCUGUAGCGGGUCUGAGAGGAUGAUCCGGCACACUCGAACUGAGACACGGUCCAGACUCCUACGGGAGUCAGCAGUGGGGAAUUUUGGACAAUGGGGGCAACCCUGAUCCAGCCAUGCCGCGUGAGUGAAGAAGGCCUUCGGGUUGUAAAGCUCUUUCGGCCGGGAAGAAAUCGCACGGGCUAAUACCCUGUGUGGAUGACGGUACCGGAAUAAGAAGCACCGGCUAACUACGUGCCAGCCGCCGCGGUAAAAC
rnacentral:rRNA from 1 species